rnacentral:lncRNA from 1 species
CACACACAACACACACCCAUACACAACAUACUCACUCCUGACACUUAUACAUAUAUCCAACACACAUUCACACCCAACACAUGCACACACCCAUUUACACCACACAGCACAACACACAUACACACAGUAAACUCCAACACUCUGCGCAACCAUCACAGACACCCACACGAGCACCCACUCACGCCCUCACACUCACGGACUCGGAGCCGGCCUGCUGUGAACCUGGGGCAAGAGAUGUCACCGCCAGGUGACUCAGUUUCCCCAUCAGUAGGAUGCAAAUUAUCCCCACUUUGUGAGCCACAGAUGAGCUAAGGCCGGAGACACAGGCAGUUCUCAGAACAGCACCACUGGCUGGAUCCAAUCACUCUCACGAGAAACGCGGGGAGCAACACACUCCUGCUCCUCCAGGCGGGAGAUGGAAACCCCUUAGCCGCUACUCAGAUGCAGAGGGACAGGGAGGCUGCAAACACAUGUUACUGACUGCAAGGGAAGGAUGCCUGAGCAGGAAGGGGACUUCAGGGACACCACUGUAAAGAAGAAGAUACCGAGGUCCACAGAGGACCCAAACGUGCCCAGAGCUGAACUGCUGCAGAAAACCAGCUCCCACGCCUGGCGCCAGUGCCUCUGAUCUCUGACCCUGCCCCGGGACCACAUCAAGUAUCAGCGGAUGGCAAUCGGUGGUCAGGAGUCCAAGGCCUCCCAGCACUAGUCAAGACGGAGGUGCAGCCCGGAGGUCAGGGUGUCAGCAUGAGCAUGUUGAUCCCUGAGAUCUUCACGAAGAACCCAGACAAACCGGCUCGUUGGGCUCCCAAAGGCUCCUCAACCCCGGCUGAGACUUUCCGGCCCCAAGCAAAGACCUGUUGGACCGGUCUGUCUGCCAAGCCACCUCCAUCCAGGGCAGUGCUGGCCAGCUGUCAGAGGGUGGCGGGCGGGACCAGGCCCACUUGGUCCUUGGUCCUGUACUUAGGACGCUGCCCUGUUUCUCCUUCCCCCCAGGCUGGUCCCCAUUGUGAUCCACAAAAUCUUUUUCUCUGGCAGAAAAUCAGAAAAACAGAAUGUGGGUGUGUGUUGGGUAGUCUUGGCUUCUGAAAGGUUGAGAAUAAAAAUAGGAGCAGGGGCUAGGCGCGGUGGCUCACUCCUGUAAUCCCAGCAUUUUGGGAGGCCGA